GAUUAAUGAGUGAUGGAGAAAGAGAGUCCACUUAUAAUUUCAAGCAGCCUCAUGUGCUAUGGAAAUUGGAAACCCCACCUCCUUUAUCCUUUUCUCUUGCGAAAGAACCACUGCCUUCCUCUCCCUAGGUUUCAUUCUGGUUCUGUUAUUAGUAUUAUUAAUAUAAGAUGUCAUCAGCCACAUUUGGAACUUAUAUGCUGAAUUAGGAAUAACCAUGGUGGACAGAAAUGUCGUUUUCUUUCCAUGAUAGGCGACGGGGUUGUUUGUUUAAAAUCGUUGAUCUUCUACUGCUGAAGACGAUAUGGACGUUAC
rnacentral:misc_RNA from 1 species